CUACUACUCCCUUCGUCCGAAAAUACUUGUCAUUGAAAUGGAUGUAUCUAGAUGUAUUUUAGUUCUAGACACAUCCAUUUUGAUGACAAGUAAUUCCGGACGGAGGGAGUAUUAU
rnacentral:pre_miRNA from 1 species